GACGAACGCUGGCGGCGUGCUUAACACAUGCAAGUCGUACGGUAAGGCCCUUUCGGGGGUACACGAGUGGCGAACGGGUGAGUAACACGUGAGUAACCUGCCCACAACUUUGGGAUAACGCUAGGAAACUGGUGCUAAUACUGGAUAUGUGCUCCUGCUGCAUGGUGGGGGUUGGAAAGCUCCGGCGGUUGUGGAUGGACUCGCGGCCUAUCAGCUUGUUGGUGGGGUAGUGGCCUACCAAGGCGGCGACGGGUAGCCGGCCUGAGAGGGUGACCGGCCACAUUGGGUCUGAGAUACGGCACAGACUCCUACGGGAGGCAGAAGUGGGGAAUAUUGCACAAUGGGCGCAAGCCUGAUGCAGCAACGCCGCGUGCGGGAUGACGGUCUUCGGGUUGUAAACCGCUUUCAGCAGGGACGAAGCUUUUUGUGACGGUACCUGCAGAAGAAGCACCGGCUAACUACGUG
rnacentral:rRNA from 1 species